UAGUCCACGCCGUAAACGAUGAGUGCUAGCUGUUGGAGCAUUAGCUUCAGUGGCGCAGCUAACGCAUUAAGCACUCCGCCUGGGAAGUACGGUCGCAAGAUUAAAACUCAAAGGAAUUGACGGGACCCGCACAAGCGGUGGAGCAUGUGGUUUAAUUCGAGGCAACGCGAAGAACCUUACCAGGACUUGACAUCCUUAUCGCGCGCACCAGAGAUGGAGCGUUUCAGUUCGGCUGGAUAAGUGACAGGUGCUGCACGGCUGUCGUCAGCUCGUGUCGUGAGAUGUUGGGUUAAGUCCCGCAACGAGCGCAACCCCUAUCCUUAGUUGCUAACAUUUAGUUGGGAACUCUAAGGAGACCGCCGGUGACAAACCGGAGGAAGGUGGGGGACGACGUCAAGUCAUCAUGGCCCUUAUGGGGCAGGGGCUACACACGUGCUACAAU
rnacentral:rRNA from 1 species